rnacentral:rRNA from 1 species
GGGACACGUGGUAUCCUGUCUGAAUAUGGGGGGACCAUCCUCCAAGGCUAAAUACUCCUGACUGACCGAUAGUGAACCAGUACCGUGAGGGAAAGGCGAAAAGAACCCCGGCGAGGGGAGUGAAAAAGAACCUGAAACCGUGUACGUACAAGCAGUGGGAGCCUCUUAAUGGGGUGACUGCGUACCUUUUGUAUAAUGGGUCAGCGACUUAUAUUCUGUAGCAAGGUUAACCGAAUAGGGGAGCCGAAGGGAAACCGAGUCUUAACUGGGCGCUAAGUUGCAGGGUAUAGACCCGAAACCCGGUGAUCUAGCCAUGGGCAGGUUGAAGGUUGGGUAACACUAACUGGAGGACCGAACCGACUAAUGUUGAAAAAUUAGCGGAUGACUUGUGGCUGGGGGUGAAAGGCCAAUCAAACCGGGAGAUAGCUGGUUCUCCCCGAAAGCUAUUUAGGUAGCGCCUCGUGAAUUCAUCUCCGGGGGUAGAGCACUGUUUCGGCAAGGGGGUCAUCCCGACUUACCAACCCGAUGCAAACUGCGAAUACCGGAGAAUGUUAUCACGGGAGACACACGGCGGGUGCUAACGUCCGUCGUGAAGAGGGAAACAACCCAGACCGCCAGCUAAGGUCCCAAAGUCAUGGUUAAGUGGGAAACGAUGUGGGAAGGCCCAGACAGCCAGGAUGUUGGCUUAGAAGCAGCCAUCAUUUAAAGAAAGCGUAAUAGCUCACUGGUCGAGUCGGCCUGCGCGGAAGAUGUAACGGGGCUAAACCAUGCACCGAAGCUGCGGCAGCGACACUAUGUGUUGUUGGGUAGGGGAGCGUUCUGUAAGCCUGUGAAGGUGGCCUGUGAGGGUUGCUGGAGGUAUCAGAAGUGCGAAUGCUGACAUAAGUAACGAUAAAGCGGGUGAAAAGCCCGCUCGCCGGAAGACCAAGGGUUCCUGUCCAACGUUAAUCGGGGCAGGGUGAGUCGACCCCUAAGGCGAGGCCGAAAGGCGUAGUCGAUGGGAAACAGGUUAAUAUUCCUGUACUUGGUGUUACUGCGAAGGGGGGACGGAGAAGGCUAUGUUGGCCGGGCGACGGUUGUCCCGGUUUAAGCGUGUAGGCUGGUUUUCCAGGCAAAUCCGGAAAACCAAGGCUGAGGCGUGAUGACGAGGCACUACGGUGCUGAAGCGACAAAUGCCCUGCUUCCAGGAAAAGCCUCUAAGCAUCAGGUAACAUCAAAUCGUACCCCAAACCGACACAGGUGGUCAGGUAGAGAAUACCAAGGCGCUUGAGAGAACUCGGGUGAAGGAACUAGGCAAAAUGGUGCCGUAACUUCGGGAGAAGGCACGCUGAUAUGUAGGUGAAGCGACUUGCUCGUGGAGCUGAAAUCAGUCGAAGAUACCAGCUGGCUGCAACUGUUUAUUAAAAACACAGCACUGUGCAAACACGAAAGUGGACGUAUACGGUGUGACGCCUGCCCGGUGCCGGAAGGUUAAUUGAUGGGGUUAGCGGCAACGCGAAGCUCUUGAUCG